AGAGCGAACGCUGGCGGCAGGCCUAACACAUGCAAGUCGAGCGCCCGUAGCAAUACGGGAGCGGCAGACGGGAGAGUAACACGUGGGAACGCGCCCUUCGGUUCGGAAUAACUCAGGGAAACUUGAGCUAAUACCGGAUACGCCCUUACGGGGAAAGAUUUAUUGCCGAAGGAACGGCCCGCGUCCGAUUAGCUAGUUGGUGAGGUAAUGGCUCACCAAGGCGACGAUCGGUAGCUGGUCUGAGAGGAUGACCAGCCUCACUGGGACUGAGACACGGCCCAGACUCCUACGGGAGGCAGCAGUGGGGAAUAUUGGACAAUGGGCGCAAGCCUGAUCCAGCCAUGCCGCGUGGAUGAUGAAGGCCUUAGGGUUGUAAAGUCCUUUAACGGGAGAUAAUGACGGUACCGUAGAAUAAGCCCCGGCUAACUUCGCGCCAGCAGCCGC
rnacentral:rRNA from 1 species